AGCGUUGUUCGGAAUUACUGGGCGUAAAGCGCACGUAGGCGGCUUUUUAAGUCAGGGGUGAAAUCCCGGGGCUCAACCCCGGAACUGCCCUUGAAACUGGAGAGCUAGAAUCUUGGAGAGGCGAGUGGAAUUCCGAGUGUAGAGGUGAAAUUCGUAGAUAUUCGGAAGAACACCAGUGGCGAAGGCGACUCGCUGGACAAGUAUUGACGCUGAGGUGCGAAAGCGUGGGGAGCAAACAGG
rnacentral:rRNA from 1 species